rnacentral:rRNA from 1 species
CAUUACAGAGCUCAUGCCCUGCGGGGUAGAUCUCCCACCCGUGACAUCUCACCCCUCUGUUGCUUUGGCGGUCGCGAGCCCCUCGCCGAGGGGCCGGCGCCGCCAGAGGCCCCAAACUCAGUGUCUACGUGUCGUCAGAGUACUAUGAAAUAGUUAAAACUUUCAACAACGGAUCUCUUGGUUCUGGCAUCGAUGAAGAACGCAGCGAAAUGCGAUAAGUAAUGUGAAUUGCAGAAUUUAGUGAAUCAUCGAAUCUUUGAACGCACAUUGCGCCCUAUGGCAUUCCGUAGGGCAUGCCUGUUCGAGCGUCAUUACACCCCUCAAGCACUGCUUGGUGUUGGGCCCCGCCGCUCGGCGGGCCUCAAAUCCAGUGGCGGUGCCUCCAGGCCCUGAGCGUAGUACGUCUGCCGCUCCAGGGGCUGGGGGCCACCGGCCAGCAACCCACCUCCUCGGUUGACCUCGG